UUGAUGGAAAAUGAGAAAAAUGAGUUUUGGAAAAUUUCUUAUCACAUCCAACCUCCCUUGUUCAGAAAUUAUUAGCUGAGUUGAUACGAGUAUUUGACCCAUUUACUCAGGUUAUUAUGUUCUACACGGUUAUACCAGGUGGUUGUUGUCGAUAAUUACUUCACUGGAUCAAAGGACAACCUUAGAAAGUGGAUUGAUCAUCCCAGAUUUGAGCUUAUUCGUCACGUCAACUUCUUAUGGUUUCUAACCAUCUGCGCUUAGACUUGGACUUAACUCUAUGGGUUGGAUUAAAGACUGUCGAGAUGAUAGUAGACUAUAUUCGGACGAGCAAUUUUGAGGAAUUUGGCAUUUUUAUGAAUUUUUCUUCUUGGCAGAUGUUACCCAGUCAUUGCCUGUUGAGGUUGAUCGGAUUUACCACCUUGCAUGCCCGGCUUCUCCAAUUUUCUAUAAAUAAAAUCCAGUGAAGACAAUAAAGACAAAUGUCAUUGGCACACUAAACAUGCUGGGACUUGCCAAGCGAGUCGGAGCAAGGAUCUUGCUCAUAUCUACUUCAGAGGUAUACGGAGAUCCCUUACCCAUCCACAACCAGAAUCAUACUGGGGGGUUCGGAGCUGUUAUGAUGAAGGGAAAAGUGUGGCUGAGACUCUAAUGCUUGAUUAUCAUAGGCAACAUGGG